UCUGGCCUCAGAGGGAUACAGCUGAACGCUGCUAUACCCAUAUGCGCGAGUGAAAUGAAUUUCGCCUGAGGAUGAGCUCGCGUCUGAUUAGCUAGUUGGUGUAGGUAAUGGCUCACCAAGGCAUCGAUCAGUAGCUGGUCUGAGAGGAUGAUCAGCCACACUGGGACUGAGACACGGCCCAGACUCCUACGGGAGGCAGCAGUGGGGAAUUUUCCGCAAUGGGCGAAAGCCUGACGGAGCAACGCCGCGUGAGGGAUGAAGGCCUCUGGGCUGUAAACCUCUUUUAUCAAGGAAGAAGAUCUGACGGUACUUGAUGAAUAANNCACGGCU
rnacentral:rRNA from 1 species